rnacentral:piRNA from 1 species
UAAAGGUUUACAUUCUCAUGUGUUUAGUAGA